rnacentral:rRNA from 1 species
UACGUAGGUGGCAAGCGUUGUCCGGAUUUAUUGGGUUUAAAGGGUGCGUAGGCGGCCUUGUAAGUCAGUGCUGAAAUAUCCCGGCUUAACCGGGAGGGUGGCAUUGAUACUGCAGGGCUUGAGUAAAGUUGAGGUUGGCGGAAUUGACGGUGUAGCGGUGAAAUGCUUAGAUAUCGUCAAGAACACCGAUAGUGAAGACAGCUAACUAAGCUUUAACUGACGCUGAGGCACGAAAGUGUGGGGAGCAAACAGG